rnacentral:rRNA from 1 species
AUUAAAUGAGAGUUUGAUCCUGGCUCAGGACGAACGCUGGCGGCGUGCCUAAUACAUGCAAGUAGAACGCUGACUACUUUAGCUUGCUAGAGUAGAAGGAGUUGCGAACGGGUGAGUAACGCGUAGGUAACCUGCCUACUAGCGGGGGAU